UUUGUUUUCAUUUAUUCUAUUGUAUUUUCGACAGAAUCUCAUCAAUAUAUUUAUCUUCCACGAUGACAUCUGUUCAUUGUAUCAUCGUCGUCGCUCUUGCAAUCUCUACGAAUUGUUGCGAAUUGUACAUUUCAGAAAACGGCGAUCUAUUCGAGAUGACCGAGUCGACAUCAACCUAUGUCACAGUAUUUCCGUCGAAUCUAAUAUUUCCAAGACAAGGACAGUAUCAUCCUUGCCAUCGUCCUCGUCUUCUCAAUUUUUAUUUUGGCUGCUACAAUUUGGUAUCUGUGUUAAAAAUACGCAAAUACAGGUCACGGAUUUCGAAUUCAAACCAAUCCUUUCACAUUUCUAACUGUACCUCCAGCCAUAGCCUUCUCUAUUAGAGAAAGCCGAAAGGAACGCUAUCCCUUGCAUGUGGGAAAAGUGAAGCACAUUUUUCUCACCUUUCCUCCCAUUCCCUUCCUCCAAGGGUACCCACGGGAGCCAUCUGGUGAUAAAAAUGAUGUAGGGGGGAGGGGGAGAAUCACCCGGAUUUAUGAGCGGUAAUUUAUGAACGCCCCAUUUAUAUUUUGCCGUGAGGGAUUUUAAUGACGAUGUUACACGGAAUGGCAUGCAUUCCUGUUUAUUGCAUAUGUUCAUUCGCAGCCAUUCAACACGUGCAGCCGUACAAUAAAAUUUUUUUGUCUAUGGCUCGGCGAGAAUGGGCAUAACAUGUGUAAUUGAGGGAUGCCUCAUUCAUUCCAGAAGGAAUGAAUUCAUAUCGAUCGAAAAGUUAACUUUUAAAAAUCGCCACUAGGCGAUAAAACGGCUCCCAUGGGUACACUUGAAGGAUGGGCAAAAUUGGAGGCAGGGAAGCCAAAAUUGCUUCAAAAAAAAGCCCCAACCUUUCGGCUUUCUUAAUAGAGAAGGCUAUGCUCCAGCCCGCCAAUAUCAAGCACCGGCACAAACAUGGAUUGAACACGAAAUUUGAAAGCACUUUGUUACAUUUUGAUGUAUUUUAAAGAUCCUGAUAUGUUCCGUCAAAUGUUAACCGCGAUAAUGAAUUUGCCUUACUAAUACAUGAAUAAAAAAUAAAAUUUCAAAGUUUAAAAUA